rnacentral:rRNA from 1 species
GACGAACGCUGGCGGCGUGCUUAACACAUGCAAGUCGAACGGAAAGGCCCUGCUUUUGUGGGGUGCUCGAGUGGCGAACGGGUGAGUAACACGUGAGUAACCUGCCCUUGACUUUGGGAUAACUUCAGGAAACCGGGGCUAAUACCGGAUAGGAGCUCCUGCUGCAUGGUGGGGGUUGGAAAGUUUCGGCGGUUGGGGAUGGACUCGCGGCUUAUCAGCUUGUUGGUGGGGUAGUGGCUUACCAAGGCUUUGACGGGUAGCCGGCCUGAGAGUGUGACCGGCCACAUUGGGACUGAGAUACGGCCCAGACUCCUACGGGAGGCAGCAGUGGGGAAUAUUGCACAAUGGGCGGAAGCCUGAUGCAGCAACGCCGCGUGCGGGAUGACGGCCUUCGGGUUGUAAACCGCUUUCGCCUGUGACGAAGCGUGAGUGACGGUAAUGGGUAAAGAAGCACCGGCUAACUACGUG